UGGUGGGUAGUUUGACUGGGGCGGUCUCCUCCUAAAGAGUAACGGAGGAGCACGAAGGUUGGCUAAUCCUGGUCGGACAUCAGGAGGUUAGUGCAAUGGCAUAAGCCAGCUUGACUGCGAGCGUGACGGCGCGAGCAGGUGCGAAAGCAGGUCAUAGUGAUCCGGUGGUUCUGAAUGGAAGGGCCAUCGCUCAACGGAUAAAAGGUACUCCGGGGAUAACAGGCUGAUACCGCCCAAGAGUUCAUAUCGACGGCGGUGUUUGGCACCUCGAUGUCGGCUCAUCACAUCCUGGGGCUGAAGUAGGUCCCAAGGGUAUGGCUGUUCGCCAUUUAAAGUGGUACGCGAGCUGGGUUUAGAACGUCGUGAGACAGUUCGGUCCCUAUCUGCCGUGGGCGCUGGAGAACUGAGGGGGGCUGCUCCUAGUACGAGAGGACCGGAGUGGACGCAUCACUGGUGUUCGGGUUGUCAUGCCAAUGGCACUGCCCGGUAGCUAAAUGCGGAAGAGAUAAGUGCUGAAAGCAUCUAAGCACGAAACUUGCCCCGAGAUGAGUUCUCCCUGAGACUUAAAGUCUCCUGAAGGAACGUUGAAGACGACGACGUUGAUAGGCCGGGUGUGUAAGCGCAGCGAUGCGUUGAGCUAACCGGUACUAAUGAACC
rnacentral:rRNA from 1 species